rnacentral:misc_RNA from 1 species
CUAUACAUACAAUAAUAAAUUAGAAAUGAAUAAAUAAAAACCAAAUUGAAACGUUGCUUCCAAAUCCAAGCCUCCCACAUCUAAUUUCACUUCCUAAUUAUUUUGCCUUGCAGAAGUCAACCUUUGAAGCCAUUUUUACUUGAACAUAAUAUGAACAGGAGAUGCAAGAAGGCCAUAGAAGAAAUCAAAGCAUUCUGGCUGGAGUUAUUAAAGUUGUAGCUCACUAAUGCAAAAUUCAGAUCCUCAAUGAAUGGACUUGGAUUAGAAGCUUGAUAUCCA